UUCAUUUAAAAAAAAAUAAUUGUAUAGUGUCUAAAAUGUUUAUUCUAGUUUUCAAUUAAUUUUAACAUAGUGGUUUAUUAACACAUUUUCAUAAUUUUCAAGUACAUUUGGCCCAAAAUGGUUUUGUUUACAUAUGUACCUUAUCAGCUUGUGAUUCAUCUGUAAAGCACUUUGUACACCAACCUGUACUUAAUUUGCUAUAUAAAGAAAGUUUGUUUAAUUUUAAAUCAUGUGUAAAUGCAGGUUGUCUUUAAUGCCAAGACAAGAUUUGGAAAUGGCUCAAUUUAAAAUGAUGGUGCAAACUGGUGGCUAAAAAAUGAUCCGUCAUUGUUGCGUAAACAGUCGUAUUCUAGCAAUUUAAGCCUUUCAUACCGGUAAAAUGUAAAGGAACUUUAUAUACUAAAUAAAUGUAAGUCUACAACUAAACAUUUGGUGGAUAUCUGCUGACAAGAUGUUUUUUGAUAAAUCUGCAACACAGUGUAUGUAAAACAACACUAAGUAUCAACACAAAGCCACAGAAAGUGUGACUGCAACGAUCUUUUAUUUGUUAGGGUUUCAACAGAAUAACAUGAAGACUACAUGGGGGCAUUCAGGAGCAUGGCCCUGAUGACAUGCUAAUAAAUAGGAGAAACAUUCUGUAUGUUAAACAGUCAGUCUCUUACACACACACAGAAUGUCAGAUGGUUUGGAGAUCGUCUCCAGUGGCAGGCAGAGACACACACCCACGCACACACACACACACACACACACACACACAC